AUUGAACGCUGGCGGCAUGCCUUACACAUGCAAGUCGAACGGUAACAGGUCUUCGGAUGCUGACGAGUGGCGAACGGGUGAGUAAUACAUCGGAACGUGCCCGAUCGUGGGGGAUAACGAGGCGGAAGCUUUGCUAAUACCGCAUACGAUCUACGGAUGAAAGCGGGGGAUCUUCGGACCUCGCGCGGACGGAGCGGCCGAUGGCAGAUUAGGUAGUUGGUGGGAUAAAAGCUUACCAAGCCGACGAUCUGUAGCUGGUCUGAGAGGAUGAUCAGCCACACUGGGACUGAGACACGGCCCAGACUCCUACGGGAGGCAGCAGUGGGGAAUUUUGGACAAUGGGCGAAAGCCUGAUCCAGCCAUGCCGCGUGCAGGAUGAAGGCCUUCGGGUUGUAAACUGCUUUUGUACGGAACGAAAAGCCUCUUUCUAAUAAAGAGGGGUCAUGACGGUACCGUAAGAAUAAGCACCGGCUAACUACGUG
rnacentral:rRNA from 1 species